rnacentral:lncRNA from 10 species
UAUUCACAGGUGCAAUCAUAGUGCACUACAGCCUCAAACUCCUAGCCUCAAGCAAUCCUCAUGCCUCAGCCUCCAGAGUAGCUGGGCCUACAGGUACUUAACACCUCAUCUGGCAUCCCCCAGUCAGAUAUUUGGAUGAGACCCCUGCCUUGGCUAACACCUUGAUGAAAACCUGUGGAAGGUUCUAAGGCAGGACCCUCAGCGCAGCCACUUCUCCAGGCACUCGGCAGAGAGAACGCGCGUAGGCGUUGCCCUGGCAACGCCGGGAUGCCCAGCAACAAGUCCGCGGCGUGUAUCACGUGCUCGGCGCGGACCAAUCCGAGGGCCCGCCGGGAAGCAGGAGCAAUAGCAAAAAUUGGGAAUGGGAAGAAACAGGUACCAGCCAGGACACCUGAACGAACUUGGAGCUCAGGAACCCAGGAGGGGAUUGGAGAGAGUGGGGAGACUCCAUGGUCCACAAUGAAUGCUCCUUCCCCAUCCGAAAAAAUCCCCUAGCCCAGUUUUUGGGCAGAUGCCAGACUUUUAUUCUGAAGCGUGGGCCACAACCUAUGAGGUAAUCUUUGGAGCUUCAUUCUGAGGCGGAAUCCCAUUGGCCAGUUGGGGAAGCCCCUCCCAGGAUUCCUGGCGCUCCGCCUUCCCUGAAGCCUAUAAAAGCGCAGGUCCCCGCCUCGGCAGCCACGGGACACCUGCAUCUGCCAACAAGACUGGAAGCAGAAAGGGACAGAGACGGCGAAGUUUGACGGUCUGGAAAGCAGAGACCAGCAGGGCUGACUGCUUGGGAGCACCAAAUAUCCGGACAGCGCCUCUCGGGAGGUCCGAGAAGAGAACCGCGAUCUGUUUCAGCACCGGGGCUCAGGACAGUUCCCAGCGGGCUCCGUUUCGUCUCCAGAACCCUGGACAGCUCCUCCAGUAGAGACGGGGUUUCACCAUGUUGGCCAGGCUGGUCUCAAACUCUUGACCUCUUCAUCCGUCCACCUCAGCCUCCCAAAGUGCUAGGAUUACAGGCGUGAGUCACUGCGCCUGGCCCAAGUCCGGAAUUUUCAACAGGACAUGGGUGUUACUGUGCCCAUGUGACAUUUGGGGAACCCAAGGCCCUGAGAAAGGCAGAAAAAUAACCCACGCAGGGACUCUCAGCCCACAAGUGAAGCUGAGAACCGGGAAUGGAAAACAGGGAGGCAGCACAGAGGCAGGAAACUCAGGUGUCAUAGCUUGGCUCAGCUUGGAAUGCACUCCCUCCACCUCCAACCAGAGCUCCCCACAACUGACCCUGCCUUCUUCUGCAAGCUCCAUUUCAUCAAGGGAAACGAUCCUUAUUGCCUCACCAUUUCCCACGUGAAGUCUGUAUUGACAUUCUCAUAGACCUGGGAUAUUGUGUCUGCAGCACAUAGUCCAAUUAUUUUCAUGUUAUCUACUGACAGGUCUAUUUGUCUCCCUGUUACACUGUGAGCUCCGUGAGGGCAGAAACAAUGUUAGUAUUUUCACUGCUGUGUCCCCAGCGCCUGGUCCGGGGCCCGGCACACAGCAGGCAUAUAAUAAGCAUGUGUUGAAUCAAUAAAGGCAUCAAAGAAUAAACCAAUACAUCAAUCAAUAAAUGAAUGAAUGGCCUCAGCACACACAGGAAGAUCCUUCUUCUAGGUCUCCCCCAGAGAGAUACUGGAGGGCAAUGGUUGCUGGAGGUGUUUAUUGGGGAAGCAUAAUUGAAUUUGUGGACACUUAAGGGCCGGCCAGCCAACUCACAGCCCCAAGAGAGAGAGCCAGGCUCAUUUAAUUAGCAAUUACAAGGCACUGAUUCCUCAUUAGCUCUGGCAACCCUCGUCUCCCUCCUCAGCCCCAGACAAAUGAAAUCUUUCUCUCUCUCCCAGGAGUACUGCCUCAGUGGGUCCAUUAACAAGCAGAGAAAAUGAGAUUAGAAGACACCUAAAUGCCAGAGGCACUUUAUGAAUGGGCUGAGCAGAGGGAGGUUCAAUGUCUGGGUUAGGUCUAAUUGUGGGAGGUUUCCUGGUCUAUUUAGAAUUGCCCCCUGGGAAUGCAAGGUCUUUCAGAAAGGAAAAGGCACACAGAUAUUGCCUUCUGGGGUCCUCAAUGGAGGAGGACAUUCUGCUAUGGGUGUCUCCCAGUCACCCCAAAUUAAUCAUUUCAAAGUGAACACUCAAUCUGCCCAGCCCCUAGCUUCCUCCCCUGACAUGCCCAUGAAUAUGACAGUCCCUCUACAUGCCCAAGAUCCUCCCCUCCUCAUCCACUCCCCAUGAUCCCCAAGAUGAGUCACUGUGCUCAAAUCCAUCCUCUCUCCUCCAGCCCUCUGCCUCCAUGACCUCCCUCCAGCCCUCUGCCUCCAUGACCUCCGCCUCCCUGCAUGUCCGGAUCUCCUCACUGUCUCCCCUCUGAGCAUACACACACAUACAGCCUGUUCAUUCUCUACAUGCAGCGAGGGGACUUUCCAGAACACACAUCUGACCAAGUUCCACUCCUGCCUGUCACCCUUCCAAGAGCCCCACUGACUGCAGAAUAACGUUCAAAUAUCCGGUUGGGCGUGGUGGCUCAUGCCUGCAGUCCCAGCACUUUGGGAGGCCAAGGUGGGUGGAUCACUUGCACAGGACCACAGGCGUGUGCCACCACACCCAGCUAAUUUUUAUAUUUUUGGUAGAGACGGAGUUUCACCAUGUUGGCCAGGCUGACCUCAAGUGAUCCACCCGCCUCAACCUCCCAAAGUGCUGGGAUUACAGGCAUGAGUCACUGCACCGGUCUAAUUUUUUCAGAGUCUCACUCUUGCCCAGGCUGGAGUGCAGUAGCAUGAUCUCGGUUCACUGCAACCUCUGCCUCCUGGUUUCAAGCGAUUCUCUUGGCUCAGCCUCCUGAGCAGCUGGGAUUACAGGCACGUGCCACCACACUUAGCUAAUUUUUGUAUUUUUAGUAGAGAUGGGGGUCUCACCAUGCUGGCACAGUUGGUCUUGAACUCCUGACCUCAAGUGAUCCACCCACCUCGGCUUCCCAAAGUGCUGGGAUUACAGACGUGAGCCACCGCGCCCGGCCAGCCUUUAUUGAUUCUUUUUAAAGCCACACUAACCUUUUAUUUUCCCCCAAAGACCCCUGGGAGCCCUCAGUUUUUCCUGGCAGUUUCAUCUUUGUACCCCUGACCUCCCCACACACACGCCUAGCUCAGUGCUGGCAUCCAAUAUUCACUUUGGGUAUAAAUGCUUGUGCCUGAGCCUAUCACCUUCAUCACACAGAAAAUCCUGGAGGCCACACACCCCUGUAAAGACGAGCCAUUACCCACAGAGGUCCAACCAACUUACCACCCUCUCCCAGCCACCCCCAAGGACCCAGCUUGCAGCUGCCUGCUCAAUGGCUUUAGAAACUAAAAAAGGUGAAUGAGUUUCCAUCACUGCCCUCCUGGGCUUUGCCGUUAUGGCUGGUUAACUUGACAGAAGAACACAUUAUACUUCAUUUUUUGCUGUUGUCUUGUUGGAAAAAAAAGUGACAGCUGGGUGCAGUGGUGCACACUGUAGUCACAGCUACUCAGGAGAAUUGCUUGAGCACAGGAAUUGGAGGCUACACUGAGCAAUGAUCGCCUCACUGCACUCCAGCCUGAACGACAGAGCAAGACCCUCUUAAAAAAUACGUGAGAGAGGGUGCGUAUGAUGGCUCAUGCCUGUAAUCCCAGCAGUUUG